rnacentral:rRNA from 1 species
ACGGAGGGUGCAAGUGUUAAUAGGAAUAACUGGGCGUAAAGCGCACGAAGGCGGUUUGUUAAGUCAGAUGUGAAAUCCCCGGGCACAACCUGGGAACUGCAUAAGAUACUGGCAAGCUUGAGUCUCGUAGAGGGGGGUAGAAUUCCAGGUGUAGCGGUGAAAUGCGUAGAGAUCUGGAGGAAUACCGGUGGCGAAGGCGGCCCCCUGGACGAAGACUGACGCUCAGGUGCGAAAGCGUGGUGAGCAAACAG